AUGGCUUUCUCGGCCUUUUGGCGGAGAUCAAGUGUAUUUGGUCUUAUCAGUUAAAUAUUGAUAUGUGGGCCCUUGGUCUACACGAUAUUAUCGAUAUUGUCAAUAAUAUGACGAUAUUAUCGAUAUUAUCGAUAAUAUCGCGAUAUAUUAACGAAAAUUAAUGGGAUAGUGUGAAAAUAU
rnacentral:snRNA from 1 species